GUUUGAUCUCGUCAAGCUAAGUGGGAGCUGGAAAGGAAUGGAUCAAACGGGUCAAGUGCGCAAGGAAAGCUCGAACGGACGCAAACUGUACAUUUUGGAUGCCGGAAGACGAUCAAGCUCAACGAAGAACCGAACACGCAUAAGAUAAAAGCUUCCGCACGUCGUUUCGUCGUAACUUUUAAACGACGAACUCAAUUAUGUUAUGUUGUAUUAUUUUAAAAUUGUAAAGUUUAAACAAACCCGUAUUUAUACAAAGUAUAU
rnacentral:lncRNA from 1 species